GUCCACCACUCACCUCCCCGGCACCACCAGGUAUUGGACAUCAGGAGGGGUAUCUCCUCAGGAGGACACAGAGGGGCAUCAAGCAGGAACACAGCCAGAGAUUAUUGGGGGCACAGAACAAGGGAAGGGAUGAAGGAGUUUUAAAGGGGGCACAGAGCAGGGAUGGGAGUUUUAAGGGGGCACAGAACUAAAGCAACAGUAAGCAAGGGUUACCGGGGAGCAAGGCACAGCACAGGUCCAGGGGUUACAGAGAUGGGCCUGGGGUGCAACAAGGCACAGGAGUUACACGAGAAAGAAGACAUGGGUUACUGGGGAGAGGACAUGGCAGAACAGGCGUUACGGGGGGAGUAUGGCACAGUGCCAGGGGCUACCAGAGAGUGCAGUGGAACUAGGAUUACUAGGGGUUACCGGGAGAGGGUUACCAGAGGGCGUGGCGGGCACGGGGGUUACCGGAGGGUUACUGGGAGGGGUGGGCACAGGGGCUACCAGAAGGCACGGUGGGACUGGGGUUACUAGGGGUCACCGGGAGGUGGUUACCGGAGGACGCGGUGGGACGGGGGUUACCGGGGGUUACCAGGAGAUGGUUACCGGAGGGUGCAGUGGGACUGGUGUUACUAGGGGAUACCGGGCGGGACAGGGGUUACUAGGGGUCACCGGGAGGUGGUUACCGGAGGACGCGGUGGGACGGGGGUUACCGGGAGGGACGGGCGCAGGCGUUACCAGACUGGGGUUACCGGAGGGCGCAGUGGGACUGGGGUUACUAGGGGAUACCGGGCGGGACAGGGGUUACUAGGGGUCACCGGGAGAUGGUUACCGGAGGGUGCAGUGGGACUGGGGUUACUAGGGGUUACCGGGCGGGACAGGGGUUAUUAAGAGUCACCGGAAGCUGGUUACCGGAGGGCGCAGUGGGACUGGGGUUACUAGGGGUCACCGGGAGGUGGUUACCGGAGGACGCGGUGGGACGCGGGUUACCGGGAGGGACGGGCGCAGGCGUUACCAGACUGGGGUUAACGGAGGGCGCAGUGGGACAGGGGUUAUUAAGG